rnacentral:rRNA from 1 species
UACGUAGGGACCAAGCGUUGUUCGGAUUUACUGGGCGUAGAGGGCGCGUAGGCGGCAAUUCAAGUCAUCUGUGAAAUCUCCGGGCUUAACCCGGAACGGUCAGAUGAUACUGCUUUGCUAGAGUGCGGAAGGGGCAAUCGGAAUUCUCGGUGUAGCGGUGAAAUGCGUAGAUAUCUGGAGGAAUACCGGUGGCGAAGGCGGCAUCCUGGACCGAGAUUGACACUGAUGAGCGAAAGCUAGGGGAGCAAACGGG